UAAGACGUAGGGGGCUAGCGUUGUCCGGAUUCAUUGGGCGUAAAGCGCGUGUAGGCGGCCAGGUAGGUCGGAUGUGAAAACUGGAGGCUCAACCUCCAGCCGUCAUCCGAAACCAUCUGGCUAGAGUCCGGAAGAGGAGAGUGGAAUUCCUGGUGUAGCGGUGAAAUGCGCAGAUAUCAGGAAGAACACCUAUGGCGAAGGCAGCUCUCUGGGACGGUACUGACGCUGAGACGCGAAAGCGUGGGGAGCGAACAGGAUUAGAUACCCUGGUAGUCCACGCCGUAAACGAUGGGCGCUAGGUGUGGGCGGUGUCGACUCCGUCCGUGCCGAAGCUAACGCAUUAAGCGCCCCGCCUGGGGAGUACGGCCGCAAGGCUA
rnacentral:rRNA from 1 species